rnacentral:lncRNA from 10 species
CAGGCUGGAAAGCCGGCGCAGGGAGGUCACCUUUGAUGUAGACAUCGUCGUCGGCGCGCAUGAACCACUCAUACUUGUCCAGAAAUCAGCAUGAGAAGAUGAUCAAAAUUCAUAUAUUGAAACAUGAAAAGGCUCUGAAUGGGUUGGAUGAUGCCCUCCCAUAUUGCGGUGGCCAAUAUGCUUUACUCAGUCUACAGAUUCAAAUGCUAAUCUCUUCUGGAAACAAACUCACAGACACACUCAAAAAUAAUGUUUAACUAGAUAUCUGGACAUCCGGUGCUCAAGGUUGAAGAAGAAAUAAAGAAGCACGGAAGUAAUAACAUGGGAUUAUCAGAAAACCUGACUGAUUGUGCUGCUGCUGGCAAUGGUGAUGAUGGACUAAUUCCACAAAGAGCAGAAAACCUGAAAAUCAGCAAUUUCCUAGGACGGAGAAUGAAGAGUAUCAUAGGUAAGCCUAUGGCA